ACAAACACAAGCUAAACCUUCUCAAUCCCUCUCUUUCGCGACCCAGAAAUGGCCGCCACAGCCUCCUCCUCAUAAACCCAUUCACCUUGUUCCUCCUCUUCUUUCGCAGAUUCGUUCUCUUUGGGUUUUUUUUUUGUCGGAGAGUUUGAUUUGGGAAUCCGAUCUUUUUCUUCAUCGAUCUUCAGUACCGGUUGUUUGGGGGUUUCUUUUCGGGUGAAAGUUAGGGUUUUAGGGUUUGGUUUUACUGCAAUCUUACCUAAUUUAAAAAACUCGAACUAUAGAUACAAGCCCUGUCGUAAAAAUUUGAUCUUUUUAUUGUUUAGGUUAAACUUCCUUAGGCUUGGAUUGUCGUGGGUCAGCUAGAAAUUUUCCGAGCAAAUCACAUGUCUGACCAUUUGAGUUUCUAUUCUAAACAUGUCAAUUUUUGUGUAUUAUUUGAUUCUGUUAAUUGAAGAACAUUGUACUCAGUAAGUUAGAUUUACUUAAUUAUGUUGGAUGGUGUAAAUUUUGUAGGUGGCGCUCUUGGGUUGGCCAUGGGUUUGUUUAUAGGUUCUCUAGAUAAUCCUAUAACUCGAGAUGAGAUGAGUGGUAAGCAGCAAUUUGUUUAUCAGGCAAAGCAGAUGGGGCGCAGGAGCUGGAGUUCUGCAAAGGCAUUUGCUGUUAUGGGAUUUGUUUUCUCUGCGGCCGAGUGCGUUAUUGAAAAGGCGCGAGCAAAGCAUGACACAACAAAUACAGUUGUUGCUGGCUGUGUUACUGGGGGUACAAUAUCGGCUAAAGGUAACAUGUUUCUCUUUUCUGAUGAGGUUAUAGCAAUUUACAGUAAAAACUUACACAUUGUGUAUUUUUUUUUCCUUCAAUACUUUGGUUUUCAUCUGCCAGAGUUAGUAAUUGCUUGAUAUGCUUUACUGAUACUAUUUACAGUAGCAAGUAAUUAGGAGUUGUGUACUUUGAAGUUCUUUGGCAUUGUUCCUUAUCUUAUUUUGGGAGAAAAUUGGUGCCGAGCUUUCGAUAGAGGAGCUUGGUAAAAGAGAUGUGGAAUUUUUUUUAUUUGCAAAUCAACAAUGUGGUGAAGUUAGCUGUUUAGAGGGGCACAUGGUAAUACUACUACUAACCAUAGAAACAAGACGAGUAAGAGACUACUGUGUCCCAUCACAUCUCACACUCCAAUUUCUAUUCAGAAAUGCACAUAACUUUUACCGCUAAAUUUCUUCGCUCCAAAACCAGAUCGUCUUCUUCUUCCUCCACACCUCUCCUUCGAUCACCAUGUGGCUCUCUUUCUUUCGCCCGCUCGACCGAUUUUCCCUCCAAAACUUCAAAUAUGUAGUGAAUGAACUCCGGGAAAUUAAAGUUGUGGAUGAGCACAACAAGGAAUCAGUGGUAGAUCUGUUGCAGUCUGUAGUGGAGAUAGUUACCUAUGGGGACAAACAAGACCCGAUGAUUUUUGAAUAUUUUAUGGAAUGUCAAGUUUUAGCUGAGUUUCUUCGUGUACUUAAAAUUAGUAGGGAUUCGAGAAUUGAAAUACCAUUGCUUCAGUAUCUGAGCAUAAUGAUUCAAAAUAUGGAUAGUGAGCAUGCAAUUUACUAUUGUUUUAGCAAUGAUUAUAUCAACAACAUCAUAGAACAUCAGUACCAAUUCAAUCGAGGGGAUCUGGCCCAGUAUUAUGUAUCCUUUCUAAGGUUAUUUGUGUGCUCUUUUAAAUAAUUUCUGUUUGGAAACUUGGGCCUUCUUUUUGUUCAUUUGUGAUAAGCCAAGUGGUUUUGCUGGUUAAUUUCUGUUAUAACAAUUUCUUGUUAGUUA